rnacentral:rRNA from 1 species
UGCCAGCCGCCGCGGUAAUACGGAGGGUCCAAGCGUUAUCCGGAUUCACUGGGCAUAAAGCGCACGUAGGCGGUUCGUUAAGUCGAAUGUGAAAGCCCCCGGCUCAACCGGGGAAUUGCAUCCGAUACUGGCGGGCUAGAGGACGGCAGGGGUAAGUGGAACUCCAGGUGGAACGGUGAAAUGUGUAGAUAUCUGGAGGAACACCGGUGGCGAAAGCGGCUUACUGGGCCGUCUCUGACGCUGAGGUGCGAAAGCUAGGGUAGCGAACGGGAUUAGAUA